CAAGGCUGGGUCCAGGCUUUCUUCCAUCUCCUUUGGGCUCUUCUGACUGUGGAACUGCUGAAGGCAGAGGCAGUUUGAGAAAGGUCAAGAAACUGCAAAGCUUGGUGACGUGUUUGGAGACAUACAGAAACAAAAGCCAGCUCUAGCAGGACUAUUUUCCUUGUAUCUGGGUAGCGUGGAUGAAUAGCACUCCAAAGCUUUCUGUAUCUCCAGUCUGAGCCAGGCAAGGGAUCAGCAGGAACAACGUGAAGACAGCUGAGGAGCUUCGGUUUUCUUGCAUGUUCCAAUCCUGGGUGAACUUGGCAGUGUGAGAGAUCUCACUUUGGGUGCCCUUGGAGAGGACAGCUUGUGGUGUUUUGGUGAUUGUGUCUACUCACAGCUGUUCAGAGACAGUUGGGUCUGCAGGUGCUAGGCAGGAUGGGGUCCCUCUUGAAUUUCCAUCAGACUCAAAGUUUCCCAUGCUGAAGGACAGAAGGUGAAUACACUGAUAUUUUCUGCCGGAGGAGAGCCUGCACUGCAGCAGAUCCACAGCUCCACAAUGCACAUGGCCAGAGUUAUUCUGAGAGGUAGAGCAAUAACUCUAAUGCAAGACAGGAGACAUAACAAUGCAAGCCAUGGAUGAGGUUCUGAUCAACAACACAGAGAUCUGAAGGGAAAAGGAGAUAGAGUGGAGAAGUCACUGUAAUGUUUCUGUGUAAGAAACCAGGAAAGAAAGGCACAAAUGUUCCAAGUACUGCAAUGUCUGUGAUACAGCUGGAAAUCUGCAACUACACUGCAUCAUCCUCACAGUCAGGUGGGAAUGAGACAUCUCCAGAGGACACUCCAUCCCCACAAAGAUGUCUCUAAGAAUGAGCUGUCCAUAAGAGUUCUCUCUGUGGAAUUAAGGUCUGCUGAACCUCAUGUAAGUUCAUGUCCUGUUGGUGGACUCUGAUUGGUAAGGACAGCUUACUGCAGUCUUUCCUAAAUUGGGCUUCGGGAAGAGAAAGAUUGCUCCUUUCACAGUGCAAAACACAGUGAGGAAUAGAAACGAAAAUGGACUACUGUGCCCAGGUCUGGGGCCUCCAAUACAGGAAAGAUGUGGAGCUGUUGGAGAGGGCUCAGUAGGGCCACAAAGAUAAUCAAGAGGAAGUCAAUGCUGGAAUGAUGCUCAAAUGUCCCCAGUUCUGGCCCAUGGGCUGGCAGCCAGGACCUUAGUUUUUUGCCACCUGUUGGUGAAGCACAAAAACCUUGUCAAAUCACUUCAUUUCUAUUCCUCUCCUGACUCACAGCUGACUCAGGACCUUGAAGUGUCAGUGUGAGAGUGAGGACAGAGAGGUGCAAAGAGAGACAUGUGCAUGUGUUUAGCAGGUAGGGAAGGAGCAGGUGAGAAACAUCCCCAGCACAGCCCGAGGGCACUUUUCUGACCUGAACUUUCAGCGGGUGGGAAAGGUUUGGGAUUUUUUUUGCACCUUAUGGUUAGGUUUAAGUUUCCCCUGUCCCUAGAGAAGACUGCAUAUGGCCCUAUUCAACCUCCUGCCCUGAAAUGCUGCAAGAAAACCUUACAAAUACCUUCCCUGCAGAUCCUGCACCCGCACAUGUGGCAGGAGCAGAAUCAGGCCUGCAGCUACUUUUCAGACAACUGCAGAGUGGUGCAAAAACACAGAAUGCUGUAAAAACCAAUAACCUUUGAAGCACACCCCCUGAGUAAUUACCCCAUUCCCAUCUAAUGACUUAAAGAUGUUAUAUUCCUCUCUGAUUUGGCAACAACAAAGAUUUUGACCUUAUUAAAACCAGCCUGUCAGGAAACUACAUGUCAUCCUCUGAAAAAAAAUAAAAAUAAAAAAAAUAAUAAAAAAAGAAAUAAUAAAUUAAAUAAUUUAAAAUCUCUGUGAACAAUAAUUCAAGAUACUGUAGCUGAAGACCCAUGAUUUGUUGUAGAGUGUCUGGGUGGUCCUGAGGCAGGAGAUGACAACACUAGCUCUUUCCUUCGCCCUUCUAAGAAAUGCUUUGAUGAUUCUCUAAUAUCCUAAGAAUAUCCCCCUGUGAUUCUGCACUGGGACGAGGCAAUCACAGAGCCAGGAUAAUGCAUUCCAGUUUUACCCAGGGUCUUGCUAGCAGGGGAAUAGCUCAGAGUGCUUCGUUUCAGAUGUCUGUACAGAACCCGUGAGCCAGGAUGCAUUCACCAGAGCUUAAAUAGUGAUGUGGUCUCAAAAACAUCCACCAACUCACCCCCACCCUCUGCACACAUCUGGCUGCAUACCUGAUUUGUAUGUGCAAUUAAGGCACUCAUCAUCACGGCUCAGAUAACCAAAUACUUGUUCCUCUGGUCGUUGGAGAGAUAAUGAUUACAGCACUUAGUCAAAGUAAGUAAGAACAUCAAGGAUGCAUAUACAGAUGAGCUUAGAAUUGCAAAAUUCUCAUCAGUAAUGCCAUCUGUGAAGUUUUUAGGAACCCUGAUCGUUAUACAAUAUGGAAAGGGCUCAUUUGAUGGCACCACAAUCAAGCAGCUUUGAACCAAACUUCAAGAAUGAGCUGAAUAUAUCUCUUUUGUCUGUAUUUUGCUCACACUACAACAGCCCUACAUGCAAAACAACCUGCAUUUUUGGGGUGGUCAAAUUCAUAAUCCGUAUUUCAUUUCUUGGGUUCAACCUUUCAAUUAAUUAGAAACAGAAUGACUCAAUCUGCCCUCUCCUACGCACAUUCAAGUUUGUUUGGUAUUGUGUGGGCCCUGUGGCUCAAAUAUUUUUUGCAGAUGCACAGAAUUAACCAUGCAUGUUUAGAUGUGCUUAGGGAACACAUACAUUCGUAGAGAUGUAUAUAUUUGACCCUGUCACUUUCUUGUUAAACACUGUAAAAGAUAUCGACUUUCCUCUCCAGAUUUUAAAAUGAUUUAGAAUAGGCAGCACUGGGGAAACACCUAAAACAUCCUGUCAAAUUAAGCAUUUUCUCCAAGACUGUUCUCUAAGACACACAAUUAUUUCAGCUAAGAAGAUGCCUGUGCAACGUAUUAAGGAACAGAAUGAACAACAAAAUAUAAACUGGCUUAAAUGGAUGUCCAACAUACUGCAUUUUUCCAUUUGAUUUUAAUUUUCUUUUUCCAUCUCCAUGUUCUUUUUCCAGCUCCACACAGCAUUUUUUCUCUCCACUUAGUUUGUAUCACAUUUUUCUCUCUAAUUCACUGGGCUCACUUUCCUGCUCACUGCUCGUUAUUUUUCCAGAGUGUCUCUUACUAAGAACAAUUAAGGUUGGGUCAGAUCUCUAAACCUGUUAUUUGGAGCAGCAUUGAAUGCAAGCUCGUUCCACUGAACAAAAGCACUGGCUUCUUUUCCCUUCAAGCAGACUCGCUCUCAAAAUAAUAAUAAUAAUAAUGAGGAAAAAAAAAAGGUUCAUAAAGCACAUCUACCAGGCAGAAAUGGGAAGAACAUUAAACUGCUGCACUGCCCAUUAGGAAAAACUUCUCCAAAAGAGCAGGGUGAUGCACUGGCACAGGUUGCCCAGGGAGGUGGUGGGGUCACUGUCCCUAAAGGUGUUCAACAACUGCGGGGAUGUGACACUGAGGGAUGUGGUCAGUGGGCAAUAUCAGUGGUGUGAUCUUACAGACCUUUUCUAACCUUAAUGAUUCUAUGUCUUAGAAUCUAUGUAUUCUAGUCUACCUGUGAUGCUAAGGCUGAGUUCCUUCCCCCUGCUUGCAAAGCAACUACGACAAUACCAGCCACGACACAAGAGUUUCCAAGCACUCAGAAAGCCUGGAGAUGUCACUCGUGACUCACACAAAGCCACUUGCUUGCCUGCGGGGCUGGAAAGGCUGCACAAGCUUUCCCUGCUGGGUGUCAUAACCAGGACCCUGAAGUGUCUCCGCAGAACUGAGCCAAAGAAUUCCGUGAGCAUGGUCUGCACCAUGCCUCUCCAUGGUAGUGCUAUGCAAAGCAUCCCUGACAUCUAGCAGCUCACAAGAAAUUGGCUGGGUUCCCUCUCUUUCCAGCUUAAUGGGCUCAGACCCCAGGUAUAAUGCUUACUUUGUUCAGUUUUUCAGGAGUUGUAAAGGGGAGAUGUGAGUUAAAUCAGAAUUUGGCCUGGCAUUUUCAUAAUUGCAGGAACCCAGCUUUUAUAGCAUUGAAACCAUAUGAAUUUAUCUAAUCCUACCACUCCUUUGUCCCAGUGAGUAACUGGACUUGGAGCACAGCUGCUCUUUGAGGUCCCGCUGAGUUUUCAGUGUGCAGUGCUCCCUGUGCUGCUCCUUUCCUUACCCUUCUCUGUGUUAACAAUGACAGCUUUACGUGUGCAUUUCCACUGAAUUCUAAUGACAGAUUUCUUUUUCUUAAUGGUAACCAAGUGAUUUCACUGGAAGAUGCUUCUGUUUCGUUAUGGAUUUUAUCUAGCUCUGCUAAGCCUGAAGCUUUACUCUGCAAAUCAGCAGACGUCUAGGUUUUGAGGAUUUAGAUACCUGAUAGAUAUGAAGGUCACCCAAAUGCAUACGUUCAACUUAGGACCACUGUGUUUUCGAUGAAGGUUAAGAGUCUGAAUGAGGAGAUUGUCCCCAACCCAUUCAACACGGAAAGAACAACACUUCCUAAUGGAGAAUCUCCUUUUGUAUGAAGAGCUGCUGCGAUUUAGGGAGUGCAGGUGCUUUACUACCCACUUCUGCAUUGAAGAAAUCCAACUCUCCCCGGGCAGAAGCCCACUCAGCACCUCGUACAGUGUCUGCAACUGCAGUCAGCCUUGCAAGUUUAACACAAACCACGCUCUUCACCCAUCCAAACAGCAGGGGAGAAGUGCUACCGUGUAUUGAAUUUUCUUGGCCUGUUAAACCAGACAACUUAUUUCUCAGCUGAGUGACUAAGAAGAGCUUUACAGAGCCCUGUUAAAGUGCAUUUCAGGUUUAGAAGAAUUCCAUUUAUGAGAGGGUAUCCACUGCGCUUUCCCUUCUUAUCUGCUUGAUAUGAGUCAGAAAGACAGUUGUUUUUCUUUUGUGUGCAAUACACAAUAUGCCACAAGGAGUCAUACUUAAAGGCUCCAAAGAGCCAAUCCUCAGAACAUCUGGCCAGUGAAAGCCCUGGAUAUGGAAAAUAUAAAUGUCAAGGCUCAUAUUUAUAAAUUGGAAGGGCCAUGACGACAUCUGCUAACAAGCUCUCUUCCAGAGCCCAUUUGUACAUGGUUAUGCGCAGGCAACAAUAAACAUGUGCAUGGAUCACAUGCACGGUCUGCACUCCCUUUCAGUUUCCGAAGGAACACACACUCCCAUAACACACAAAUGCUCUGUUCUCACAACACAAAAAUACAAGUGUUUGCAAACCUCACAGCAAAGCUCUUGCAUACCAGACCACAGUGGGACACGCUGCUGGAACAGACUAAAAAUAGAUGGAGAAAAAGCCUUGCAUUAACACAGAAGACAGUUAAACUCAUUUGGCGUUAACUCUUCCAGUGGAAUAAACACUCUGCUGCUUUUUUUUGCCUCUCUGCACAGGAGACAUUUUGUACUAUAGCUCCAAUCCUGAAACCUAAUAUUUAUGGUGGAAUCAUUGCAGAUGGGAAGCCUUACAUACAGUCUAACCCAUUCGAUUGCGGUAGCUUAAUAUUAACAUUAAAACAAACUGAAAAUAAACUUACUUCUCCAGUUUUUUCUCAACUUAAUGCCAACUGUAAGCACGUAUCUAAUGACUUAGAAAAAUGAUCCAAUGCGUUGUCAUAAAGGUUUUACUAAUCAUUUCAUUAUUAUGGGUGUCUAGAGCACAGUUCAGAGGUGCAAAAGGUGAAUCUACACUUGCAUAUGGAAGGUAGAGACCAUGCUGGGCAUGAGAUUGUCCAGAGCAAAUGCAAGCCCCCAACGCUUCUAGCACUGAUCACAGUCAUGCAGACUGCCCACGAGGCUCCCAGAAGGAGGAAGAAUAUCAGGCAGAAAAAGCAUGGAGUGCUUUACGAUGACCAUGAAUUUAGCAAGGAAUAAACGCUGCCACACUGUCUUAUCCAGCAGGAAAGCAAAAGACAUAGAAAGAAUCUUAGCUAUACCUCCUGCAGUCUGCACUACUGCCAGACGUCAAAGAGAUGCUGGUUACUAGAGACAUGCUCCGUAUCAAAGAGGUUCUGCUGAAGGCUCCCAAAGCACACACUUCCCAUUGAUAUAGACUGACAGAAGUAAUCUGCAGUGCUUGUAGGACUGCAGCCUCCUGUGGGAUGAGCCCAGAGAGGAGGAGGUGGCAUCCAUGGUCCAGGGGUCUGAGGAUGAAGAUGGAAAUGGUGAAGUGGUCCCUUUGUACCCUUCUCUGCCAACCACGUGCAGCCAGCAUUAAGCAGGGCAGGAAGAACAAGUACAGGAGAAUGAGAAAAUUCAAGCAGAGAAUGGGGAAGCGUGGAACUGGAAAGUAAACAGGUUGUUCAAGAUUAAGAGCAUUCUGGCAGCGGGUGUGGAAACGAGACAGCAUUGGCCGGGAAAGAGCAGAACAAGUGGGGAUGUGCAUCACUGGAAAAAUGACAGUGAAGAGAUUAUCAAAACUCAGCAGCUGCUCAUUUUUGAAACUGAAUCCUAAGCAAACAUUUUAUUUUUGCUGCAUCAGGCAGACCUUAAGCGGUUUAAAAAGGCUUGCUAUGGCAGGACUAUGUUUAACCAAAAAUACAUACAAAUGAGACACAUGUACUGCAUAUAAACAUGCAGUGUGGACUACCUUUACUCAACGUAUGCCAAAUGAAACGUAGAAAACAAGAAAGGAAGUGAAAUCUCUUAAUAGGUUCCAUAAAACCUCUUGUAUUGUGUUUUCAAUCUCAAUCAGCAUCAAGAAGGAAGGAGCAGAAAGUGUUCUUGGAUACCCAGUGCUGAAAAAUACCUCACUGUUCAAAAAUCUUAGCUUUUAUGUCCAAUUUUGUUACUUGCUCGCCUUGAAAAAUAUGGGUUUAAUAUUCAUGAUGGAUUUAAGCUUCAUGAAAAUAAAAUACCUAACACAUUGCCAAUAAAGAGUUUGGUUUCACGAAAGAAUGAAAUCUAUAUUCCAAUUGUCUACUUUCAUGUGCUUUCAUCUAUUUUUAGUGUUCUUUAUCUGACGAAUUGAUUUUCAUGUAUUUAUAGCUUUCAUUAAUUUCAUAGGUUAUACAUACAGCUUCACACUCAUCAUGGUGGUGAGAUAUAUGAGUGAAAAUAAUAAACAUGCAAAGCCGUUGCUUGUAUUUUUUGAAGUCUGCCAGUCUCUGUGUUUCAUCACACUGGAUCUGCAUAUUGCAGAGAACGUCAGCAGCAUUCAACUAUGUAAAAUCAACAGAACAAAGUAAAGCAUACGUUUGUGUUUCUGUAUCUAACAGGUGAAAGUGUGCCUGCACAUCUCUCCAGCCCCAUCUGCAGAGUAGCAAAUUUAUUCUUUGACUUUACAAGGGGAAAGAAGUUAUCACUCAUGGCCAGUUGACAGGGAGGGUCUAUUAGCAUGGAAAUGCCAGAGUUUUGGACACAAAUUUCAAGAUUUCCCAUCUGUUACUGCAAUGCACAAGAGAAUUCUGUGCUGAGCACAGGUUUCACAGCCUUAAUUAAUACGUUGUGUGCACUCUGACUAACCUGAUAAUCCAAGAAGCCUCAACAAAAACUGUCUAGAGACAGAGGAUAUGUCAUCACCAUAUCAUAUGUUAUAGUCAGGAGAUUUGUUUCUUAUUUAUACUGCACUAAGUUAUACUGUGAUGAUAUUUUACUUCCACGGGAGGGCUUGAGCACUUAGGGCUGGUGAGAGGUGCCAACAUCAGUGCUUGUUGAAAGGAGACAUCAAGCCAUCUGCUCAUCUUAGAGGGGGAUCAAGUGGAAACAGCAAGGGACUAAGGAGGGGAAA